UACAGAGGGUGCAAGCGUUGUUCGGAAUUACUGGGCGUAAAGGGUGCGUAGGCGGUCUGUUAAGUUGGAUGUGAAAACUCUGGGCUCAACCCAGAGCCUGCAUCCAAAACUAGCAGGCUAGAGUUCUGGAGGGGGUAGCGGAAUUCCUGGUGUAGCGGUGAAAUGCGUAGAUAUGUCACAGAACACCGAUUGCGAAGGCAGCUUACUAAAGUGUGAUUGACGCUGAGGCACGAAAGCGUGGGGAUCAAACAGG
rnacentral:rRNA from 1 species